ensembl:lncRNA
CUUUCCAAAUACACAUCAAGGGCUCAAUAUGAUUCCGCUGAACUUCUCCCAGCGACCCACAGUUCAAACAAAGACCUCGAGUCAAGAGUGCCACAGCACAGGGAACGCUGCCAGGCCCAGCGGAGCACUCACCACUUCACUCCCAAACAGGCUUGUACCUACCGGCAACCCAGCCAUGGCCAGCUCAUGAUCUUGGACCCCUGCCUACUUCCCUCAAAGCAGGCAAAGGCCAUCGAGUUCGUAUUGGGCUUGAAAUUAAUGAUUGCGAUAACAUAACGAAUGGCGUGGGCAGCGGAGAUGAUUGCUGCUUUGGAGAGGGAGCACCAAGACGACUGCAAACUCUGCCCCUUGACUCUGCCUCGGUGAGGAGGGGAGAGGAAGACGCCAAGCGGAUGGAGCAGCAGAACACACACAGGUGCUCGUGGUAGACUUACAGUCAAGAUGUCCUGAAAAACCCCCUGAAGAGGAAAGCCACGAGAUAUCAAUCCAUCUACAGAAAAAUAAAACCAACUACUCCACUGAUGUUAAUUCUGGGGAAAGGGGUUGGAAGAACACCAGGGAAUGACAUCCUCAAUAUGUCUGGAGAGCAGUUCCUGAAUAGCUUUCCUUUCAGAGCAAGAUCAGUGGCCUUCCCCAGAGAUGAAUGAGAAACAUCAGAGCUGAUGGGGGUGGCUCACCCCCUCUGCUCACACACUCCUUGACUUCUUUCCUGAGAUUAAAAUGAAGAAUCGCAUGGCAACUCUGAUAAGUGUGUUCCUUGUGCUGCCUUAUUUGCUGAUGGCAACAUGCAAGAAGCUCAGCUGCUGGAGCUUGCUGUAAUUCCAGGAAGGCAGGUUCUGCCUGUUUGUGUAUUUAUUUAUUUAUUUUCGCUACCAGGCCACUCCAAUUUAUUACUUACCAUAUAGCAGUGUGGGAGACUUCUGGGAGCCAUCUGACAUGUGUACACCUUCCACUUCACCUUGUUGAGCACUGUAAGAAUGGGAAAGGGUAUCAGAGAAGAACUCAUUCUCAUACUUAAUGGAAUUGUCACAGUUACUGAUAUGAACAACCCUGUGCCUGAUCAUUCAGUCCUGGCUGCUGUUUCAACCAUGUUCCACUGACACCCCUCAGUUACAUGGGAGCACCACCACAGCUGUGCUUUUGUGUGCAGCUGUGGUUAUUGAUGCUUGUGCAGAGGUUUGUGAUUAAGGCCUGGAGAAUUUCUCUCUAGAAAACAAAAAUCAGACAUUUGGAGAUAUUUCUGAAAAGGUAAUUUGAUUUUACGUUUUCCCCAUCUUUAAAAGUAAGUUAUCUCUGCUGAUAUAUGUCUUUUAAUCAGAGAAGCACUGUUACCUUUCUUACUGUUUAUCACUUACCAGGGCUGAAUUUGAACUGAUGAGAACAGGAUACAGUGUUUGAUAUCAGCUUACAGUACAGUUGAAAGAUCAGCUGCCAAAAUGAUCUGCAUAUGCACACUUGAUUUGAUGAGCUCACAUCUUUCAGUUCAGAGAAGGGUAGUGCCUAUUUGUCAUUAUUAUUUUGCAGAUUGCGUAGAACUGUCACGUGCUUUGCUUUAUUUCAGCAGUACUUGAAUAAUGGUAAUGCCUGACUUGAUAAAAGGUGACUCGUUCAAUAUUAACAUUAUCUAGACAGCAUUUCCAGUAAGCAUCCUGACCCACUCUCUGUUUUGUAUUGAGAACAUUUGCUUUUUCCCCAGGAAAAAAAACCAAAUCCUUAUGAAAAUAAUGAUUUCUGCAAAAUGUUUUGAUUUACAAGUUUCAUUUCAUAGAAAUGUGCACAUACGAAAGAUAAACGCAUUGAAAUGAAUAUAGCUAUAUUGAAAUGAAUGCAGUUAAGAGUAAUAGAGCAAGAAUCAGGAAAUACCCUGAGAGCUGCACACAGGCAUUACUGUGGUCUUUCAGGAAACACAGGGAGAAGUUACAGAAGUGACUUCAAAACUGACACCACUUUAUAGAGAAUAAUCCAAUUUCUGCAGAUCUCAACCAGCCUAACGGAGCGAGGGUGUAUGUAGCAGUCAGUUAUAAAGCAUUAUAAAGCAGUCAUAAAGCAUUUCUGGUAGUACGGAACUGUUUUGUGUGGUAGAUAUUGUUUUAUUGCAUUGAUUUACUUCAUUUAGUUAGCUCUCCUGCUAAAGAGAAAUCACUUUGUGUGUUGAAAUCCUUCAACAAUGUUUAAAUAUAGACCAGAAUUCUGGCCUUGCUGAAUCCAAUGGCAGAUUCCCAAACUAGAUUAUAAUAGGACAAAUAUAUCAUUUACAGAUGGAAAAUAAAAUCCAUUCAGCCUUUAGCAAGCUGAAAAGCUCCUCUGUUUUGUGUCUGACAUUUUUAUGGAGCUGGAAGAUAAAAACCUGAGAAGGAUAACGGUAAAUCAUAUAUAUCCUGUGUGGCAGAGCAACAAGCAAAGCCUGUGAGCUCUGGACUAUGUGUGAGGCUCAGGGCAGUGCAGGUGAUGCCUACCCUCCUCACUGCCCGGGUCCCAACGUCUCAGUGGGGUCCUGCAGGAGACCAGGGGUGCAGCAAUUGAAGAUUGCUCUACAGCUAUUCGACAUAUGCUCUCUGAAGCAAGGGAGGGGAAUUGCCCAAUUUACACCAAUGGACGGAGCAUCAGCAAGAUCAGUGAUCAUAACCAGAGUGAAACCUAGUGAUCUGUGGUGUUGGCUCCCUAGGAGGUGUUUGGAAAUACCAUUCCUCAGAAGUUCUGCAUAGCAGGUCUAGGCAUGGCUUUCAGCAUCACAGCUUUGGUAACUUGAGUAGCUGCUGGGGAAGAGAAGGGCAGAAAAGUGUAUUUGGGAGGGGAGAAGCAGCCUGGAUGAACCAUCUCAUUUCCUAGUGAGAGCCAUGGGUGUUCAACCUUUUGGUUUGUCUGGACUGCACUGAGUGAAGAAGAAUUGUCUUGGGCCACAUAUAUGUAGACUGGUCUGGAAGUAAUGGCACUUAUUUAUCUCCAUGGAAACUAUAACAGAUACAAGGAGAAAAAUAACAUUAUUCGAUAGAGCAAAUUCUCAGCUACAAAACAUUGUUUUUCAUCAUAGUCACUACUGUUAGCUCUGCAUUUUUGCCAGCAAUGAACAACAGCUGCAUGCUGCGCUCGUAAACAUCUAUACCAGAGGUGAGCCUCUGUCACCACUGCUGAAAUACAUCACUUGUUGCCUCACUGUGCUCACACCCACUGUUUGGUCUCCAUCAGCGUUCAGAAAGUGUCAACAAAUGUCAGUGGGUGCCAUAUUUUCUGCAUGGAGGAAUUCAGUGACACACCUUCACGAGCACUUUCACGUUGGAUGCCAUUGUGUCAGACUGCCCCUCUGAUGCCAUCUGCCACACAGCAACAAAACAUAAUGGGAUACUGGUGAGAAGGUUCAGCCUCUUCUGCCAUAUGACCAACAUCUGCCUUUGGCACUGUGGGUAAGUAUCAGAACAUUGGAGGCAUUGCUUUUGGAGCACUCUCCAUAAAGUAUAUAAUAUAGCUAAUGUGCUUCAUCCUUGAAAAUGGUUGUUCACAAAUAUAUGUACUGCCAAAAAAAGGUAAUGUGAAUAAGGUGAGACUGUGAAGUGAGGGGUAUUCCUCUUUCGUAAGAGAGGGCUUAUGGAUGUCUGGUAAAGAGAUACGAUCGCAUAUUUCUUGAGUUGAAUGUCUGAUUGCAACUUGAUACAUUCCAUUUGAAAAUUCACAACUGAAAAAAGAAUUACAAAUAUACCAAAAAACUGAUCACCUUUUUUCAGCUAUCUUGAAACCUGCUCUCAAACGCAGCCCACGGGCAGAGGGUUGGCCAUGCCUGUAAGUCAGCAGUCUUCUGCAGCACUCUGCCUUCUUACAGUCCGCUCUCAGCAUCAACGCGCAGGCUGGGCGUUCAGAGAGAAAAAGCUUUUGAGCACGUUGAGUAGAAAACAUGUUACUGAAAUAGCACUGGAGGUCACAGAAAAAGCAGUCUGUAAGCUAACCAGACUGCCCUGUUGCAAAGGCUUUCAGGUUUUCGUAGCACUGACCAAGGUACCGCUGGAGAGUGGGGUCUGUGGAGCUCAUUGUGAGCAGCUUGGCAGUGCCGUGCGGUUUCUGGCAGCUGGACAAAAUGCUUGUGGUUGGCAGGCCUCUCGCAAAGCCAUGGAAGGAAAGGAUAUAAAAAGAACACUGUUUCUGGAUUAACCAGAGGGACGGGCUGCACUGGCCGGUCACCACACAGUGCAGGAAGGAGCGGGCUGAGCUCCCUCAUUCACCACAUCCGCUGCUUCUGUGGAGCCAGAAGGAGGCAAUCAGGGGCCGCUACCAGAACAGAAGGCCUACAUGAAUCUUCCAAAGUAGCUGAUGUGACGUGAGACUCGUUUGGAAAGUGCUUUUCGUUUUAUAUACAGCUCAGCAACAGAAGCUUUUACUUUAAUCUUCUCAUUUCAUAGUGCCUGGGGUAAAAAAAAAAAACAAACAACAAAAAAAAAAACAAACCAGCCUCAGCCGAGUGCAGCUUCGGUUUAAACAGAUUGUAUGGCAGCUCCAUUGGGUAUUUAGGUCCAGUUAAUUCCUUAUAACAUGAGAAAAUUUCUAGUGACAUCUGGAUUCCCUUUUUCCUCCUCCAGGCACACUCAGUCUGUGCUCUCACCAUGAAAGUUCAGAGCAGGUUGAAAUAUCACCUGCAGGAGUAAUUUUUGGUUGAAAAAAUAAAAGGGUUUUUUUAAUGCCAACCGUUACUGGAACAGGCUGCCCACGGAGGUGGUGGAGUCACUGACCCUGGAGGCGUUCAAGAACUGUGUGGGUGUGGCACUGAGGGACAUGGUUAGUGGGAAUGGUGGGGGUGGGCUAACAGUUGGACUUAAUGAUCUUAGAGGUAGGUCUUUUCCAGCCUUAAUGAUUCUAUGAACCUACAAUCAAUUAAUGGCAGCCCAGAUCCUCAUCUCAAGAACUCCAGUCUCUAUACUGUUUCUUUAAUGAACGUUAGAAGCAAGGCUUGUUUUUUCAUUACUGAAUAAAGCAGAGCUCUAUUAGGCUUUUGGAUUGAUCUUGUUUCCCAGCCUUCUUAUUUGUAAUGUUUUUUUGACAGAUGUGCUCAGGCUAUUCUCGUUGUGAGAAGAAACAGGGAACAGCAUCAGAUGAACUUGUUGUCAGGUUAUUAUUUGUCAACAAGAUCAAGCAAAGCCCUGCUCUCCUGGAGAAAUCGAAUUUCCCCACCAGCCAGGCUGAAUACUUCCAGCCAGUAUCCUGCCACUUCCCAGCAG